GACGAACGCUGGCGGCGUGCCUAAUACAUGCAAGUUGAGCGCUGAAGGUUGGUACUUGUACCAACUGGAUGAGCAGCGAACGGGUGAGUAACGCGUGGGGAAUCUGUCUUUGAGCGGGGGACAACAUUUGGAAACGAAUGCUAAUACCGCAUAAAAACUUUAAACACAAGUUUUAAGUUUGAAAGAUGCAAUUGCAUCACUCAAAGAUGAUCCCGCGUUGUAUUAGCUAGUUGGUGAGGUAAAGGCUCACCAAGGCGAUGAUACAUAGCCGACCUGAGAGGGUGAUCGGCCACAUUGGGACUGGGACACGGCCCAAACUCCUACGGGAGGCAGCAGUAGGGAAUCUUCGGCAAUGGACGAAAGUCUGACCGAGCAACGCCGCGUGAGUGAAGAAGGUUUUCGGAUCGUAAAACUCUGUUGGUAGAGAAGAACGUUGGUGAGAGUGGAAAGCUCAUCAAGUGACGGUAACUACCCAGAAAGGGACGGCUAACUACGUG
rnacentral:rRNA from 1 species